GGCCAGUGUCGAUGGACAGCAUCUGGGCUGGCUGGGAGGAGCACACAAGCCGUGAUGGAGAGCCAGGCAAAUCCAUUCGUGAUCUUCUUUCAUGUAGAUCUGCUUUGCCAUCAGCUGUAGAGAGGCGUUCCGACUCAGGGCUGUUCACACGGCGAUAUCUUAGGGAGCGCGCUUGUGCGGUAGGGGACUCUGGAGGCACUCGGACAGGGGAGCUGGGGCAGACCCCAUUUCUCUGAUCUUCUUCCACCAUGCACUGAGUUUUGCUGAUGCUGAUCCUGAGUUUGUUGCGAUUCACAUCUGUCUCUUCCCAAACUUCAGCUUCGUUGAAAGCGGUGUUUGGCGUCUGGCCAAGACCUUCUGCUGGCCGGCCUGACAGGAUGGGAGGAGCAUUCUCUUGAUCACUUAGAUGUUCACCC
rnacentral:lncRNA from 1 species